rnacentral:tRNA from 1 species
GGAGGGAUGGCAGAGCGGCUGAUCGCGGUGGUCUUGAAAACCAUUUAGGGUUUACGCCCUACGGGGGUUCAAAUCCCUCUCCCUCCGCCA